rnacentral:lncRNA from 1 species
CAUCUCAUUUACAUCUCAUUUGCAUAUCACCCCCAUCUCACUUACAGCUCAUUCCUAUAUCACUCGCAUCUCAUUUGCAUCUCAUUUACAUCUCAUUUGCAUAUCUCUCCCCCAUCUCACUUACAGCUCAUUCCUAUAUCACUCACAUCUCAUUUGCAUCUCAUUUACAUCUCAUUUGCGUAUCACCCCCAUCUCAUUUACAGCUAAUUCCUAUAUCGCUUGCAUCUCAUUUGCAUCUCAUUUACAUCUCACUUCCACAUCGUUCCCACCUUCUUUGCAUUACAUUCCGUCUCAUUUGCAUCUCAUUUGCAUCUCAUUCACACCCAUGGCCGCCAUGCUGCCCUACAUCAUUCCCGGUCCCACAUCUCCCUCCCUCAUUUGCAUCCCAUAGGGACCCAUAGAGACCCAUAGAGGCCCAUAGAGGCCCAUAGAGACCCAUAGAGACCCAUAGAGACCCCAUAGAGACCCAUUGGGAUCCAUAGAGACCCAUAGGGACCCAUAGAGACCCCAUAGAGACCCUUAGAGACCCAUAGAGACCCAUAGAGACCCAUAGAGAUUCAUACCCCCCAGCCCCACAUCUCCCCACUCAUUUGCAUCUCAUUUGCAUCCCAUAGGGACCCAUAGAGACCCAUAGAGACCCAUAGGGAUCUAUAGGGACCCAUAGAGACCCAUAGAGAUCCAUAGGGACCCAUAGAGACCCAUAGAGACCCAUAGGGACCCAUAGAGACCCAUAGAGAUUCAUACCCCCCAGCCCCACAUCUCCCCCCUCAUUAGCAUCUCAUUAGCAUCUCACCUGUCUCUCUGGUCUCUCAUUGGUCGGAGCUUCCACAGCCCCGCCCCCUCCGUCCCGCCGCAAACAAAGAUGGCGCCGCCCAGCGACGCUGCAGCCAACAUCGGGGGGAACCGGGGGGCUGGGAAAGGGGGCGGGGUCAGCAGAGUAGGCCACGCCCCCUUAUAAGCCACGCCCCCAUAUAGGCCACGCCCCCUGUUGCCAUUGGUGGGAUCAAUAGGCCACGCCCCCAACAGGCCACGCCCACAUAUAGGCCACACCCCCAGCCGCCAUUGGUGGGGUCAAUAGGCCACGCCCCCAACAGGCCACGCCCCCAUAUAAGGCCACGCCCCCAGCCGCCAUUUGUGGAGUCAAUAGGCCACACCCCCAUAUAGGCCACGCCCCCUGCUGCCAUUGGUGGGGUCAAUAGGCCACGCCCCCAACAGGCCACGCCCACAUAUAGGCCACACCCCCAGCCGCCAUUGGCGGGGUCAAUAGGCCACGCCCCCAACAGGCCACGCCCCCAUAUAGGCCACGCCCCCUGCUGCCAUUGGUGGGGUCGAUAGGCCACGCCCCCAACAGGCCACGCCCCCAUAUAAGGCCACGCCCCCAGCCGCCAUUGGUGGGGUCAA